ACUCCUACGGGAGGCAGCAGUGGGGAAUAUUGCACAAUGGGCGGAAGCCUGAUGCAGCAACGCCGCGUGAGGGAUGACGGCCUUCGGGUUGUAAACCUCUUUUAGCAAGGAAGAAGCGUGAGUGACGGUACUUGCAGAAAAGCACCGGCUAACUACGUGCCAGCAGCCGCGGUAAUACGUAGGGUGCAAGCGUUAUCCGGAAUUAUUGGGCGUAAAGAGCUCGUAGGCGGUUUGUCGCGUCUGCUGUGAAAACCCGAGGCUCAACCUCGGGCCUGCAGUGGGUACGGGCAGACUAGAGUGCGGUAGGGGAGAUUGGAAUUCCUGGUGUAGCGGUGGAAUGCGCAGAUAUCAGGAGGAACACCGAUGGCGAAGGCAGAUCUCUGGGCCGUAACUGACGCUGAGGAGCGAAAGGGUGGGGAGCAAACAGGCUUAGAUACCCUGGUA
rnacentral:rRNA from 1 species